rnacentral:rRNA from 1 species
UACGGGGGGGGCAAGCGUUGUUCGGAAUUACUGGGCGUAAAGGGCUCGUAGGCGGCCAACUAAGUCAGACGUGAAAUCCCUCGGCUUAACCGGGGAACUGCGUCUGAUACUGGAUGGCUUGAGUUUGGGAGAGGGAUGCGGAAUUCCAGGUGUAGCGGUGAAAUGCGUAGAUAUCAGGAGGAACACCGGUGGCGAAGGCGGGUCUCUGGGCCGAUACUGACGCUGAGGAGCGAAAGCGUGGGGAGCAAACAGG